AGAACGAACGCUGGCGGCAUGCCUAACACAUGCAAGUCGGACGCUUUCGGGGGUUUCGGCCUCCGAGGGAGUGGCGGACGGGUGAGUAGCGCGUGGGAACCUGCCCCUUUGUGGGGGAUAACCGAGGGAAACUUCGGCUAAUACCGCAUGCGCCCGGGGGUAACUCCGGGGAAAGAUUUAUCGCAGAGGGAGGGGCCCGCGUCGGAUUAGGUAGUUGGUGGGGUAACGGCCUACCAAGCCGGUGAUCCGUAGCUGGUCUGAGAGGAUGAUCAGCCACACUGGGACUGAGACACGGCCCAGACUCCUACGGGAGGCAGCAGUGGGGAAUAUUGGACAAUGGGCGCAAGCCUGAUCCAGCAAUGCCGCGUGAGUGAUGAAGGCCUUAGGGUUGUAAAGCUCUUUCGGCGGGGACGAUGAUGACGGUACCCGCAGAAGAGCCCGGCUAACUUCGCGCCAGCAGCCGC
rnacentral:rRNA from 1 species